UACGGGGGGGGCAAGCGUUGUUCGGAAUUACUGGGCGUAAAGGGCUCGUAGGCGGCCAACUAAGUCAGACGUGAAAUCCCUCGGCUUAACCGGGGAACUGCGUCUGAUACUGGAUGGCUAGAGGUUGGGAGAGGGAUGCGGAAUUCCAGGUGUAGCGGUGAAAUGCGUAGAUAUUGGGAAGAACACCUGAGGCGAAGGCGGGUUGCUGGGCCGACACUGACGCUGAGGCGCGAAAGCCAGGGGAGCGAACGGG
rnacentral:rRNA from 1 species